ACACUCCUGCGGGAGGCAGCAGUGGGGAAUUUUGGACAAUGGGCGAAAGCCUGAUCCAGCCAUGCCGCGUGCAGGAUGAAGGCCUUCGGGUUGUAAACUGCUUUUGUACGGAACGAAACGGCCUUUUCUAAUAAAGAGGGCUAAUGACGGUACCGUAAGAAUAAGCACCGGCUAACUACGUGCCAGCAGCCGCGGUAAUACGUAGGGUGCAAGCGUUAAUCGGAAUUACUGGGCGUAAAGCGUGCGCAGGCGGUUAUGUAAGACAGUUGUGAAAUCCCCGGGCUCAACCUGGGAACUGCAUCGGUGACUGCAUAGCUAGAGUACGGUAGAGGGGGAUGGAAUUCCGCGUGUAGCAGUGAAAUGCGUAGAUAUGCGGAGGAACACCGAUGGCGAAGGCAAUCCCCUGGACCUGUACUGACGCUCAUGCACGAAAGCGUGGGGAGCAAACAGGAUUAGAAACCCCAGUAGUCCCAUGAU
rnacentral:rRNA from 1 species